GUGAGUUCAAGGCGGGAUUUUCAAAGCGUUUGGCCAUAAAAGAGGGUUCAUUACCAACUUUAUUUGGACCAACAAGCAUCUCCGAAUCACAAUCUGUCAUUGGGCCGGCGGGGUGAGCAUGAUAGGAGACCCAGUGUGUGGCCGUGCACCCUGGGUUGGACCUUAGAAAUCUCAUCCAACUGUGCUCUUUUUGCUACUCACAGCAGCAAACAUAAGGACACUCAGAGCUACACUGAGGGCAGAGGCAUCUCUGGGGAGCGGGUUUCUUGGAAUCCUGCUCUAGUGUUCCCUUACAAUAAUCUACCAGUUCAGAUUUCUAAGAGACCCCACAAGCCUCCCGGAGUGGUACUGUAGGUUUAUUCCUUAUUUUCAUACCUUACAUAUGGCCCUUAAAAACCAUAAUGAAGCAUGUUUUGAAUUUAACACAUUCUAUGCAGAUUUACCA
ensembl:lncRNA